rnacentral:lncRNA from 1 species
AUUGAGAAGGUGGGGAGGGUGGGUUGGUGUGUUGUCGGGCCUGUUGGGCCCAAAAGAGGGUUCGGGUGUGGUGUGGGUGGAUGGAAGGGGAAGAUGGGGUGGUGAAGGAAUUUCAACCGAAAACCUGAGAGCCAAAUGGGAGGGGAAGGAAGGCGAAUGGUGGAAGGGUCGGCGGCCGCAAAUGGAAGAGGGGCGGCUCGGGAUGGUGACAGGCAGUGGAGGAGCAGGGUACGGAGGCGUAGAGGACGUGGGAGAAGCCCAGGUGGACGGGGACAGCGGAGGCUUUGAGGUGGACGAUGACGACCGAAGGGGUGGUUGAAGGUGGUGGGGUGAGGCAGGCGACGGCAGGAAGGUGCGGCGAUCGUGGGAGAUCGGCCGAGAGAGGAAGAUGUGCUCGGGAAGGAGGCGCUCGACAACGAGGGCUCACGGCAUGCGGGUGUGGCGGUGCAGGCGGCGCGGCUCAAUGGAGAUCUCUAGGCGGUGGCUCGGCCGGUGAAGAUCCGCUGCUCCAGCGGUGACGCGGCAAGGCGGAGGCCGCGGCAAGGCGGAGGCCGCGGAUGGUGCGGGAUGGCGACGCGGCAAGGCGGAGGCCGUGGACAAUGCGGGACGGCGGCACGGCGUUGCGGAUGGCCGCGAAGGAGGAAGACAACAGGUCAUUUUUUUUAACUCAGAUCCGUUAGGAUCCAAGUUAUCAGGUUUGAUCCGACCCAAUGUCCGUUACAGGCUUAUCAUGUGUAAAUCACGUGCGCCCCUUUUUCUUUUCUUUUUGAUGGCACGUGUCAUUCACGUGCGAUAUCUUUUUUUCUUUUAAUGACCUGGGUUACUUGGUUGUGCGGCUCGGGCUAACGGGUUUGAAGCUUACCCGUUAAACAACUUCAACCUCCCGACAGUUCGGGAGGGCGCUCCAACCCUUGCGGCGGCGGUCGUAGGUGGGGCUCCAAGGCUAUGGCGUAGGGCGGCGGUCACGGCUCCGGUAGGCGGCGGAUCCUGGCGACGCAUCACAGGCUGCGAGGGAGGCCGCGGGUGUGACGGUUUCUGAUAAAAGAGUUGUCGCAGGGAAGGGGUUGGUGACGGCGAAGGCAGGAUCGGAUGUGGGUGGGGCGGCAUUCCCAUCCUUCACAGUGUGGACAUCCGACGGUGGCCCGGGUGUUGCUGGCGGCGCCUAGUGACGGCGGCGGGCGUGGGUACGACGACAGGUGGGAAGGUUCCGGCGACCGGGGUUUUUCCCUUUGUUUUGGUGAAAAUGGAGAGAGAAAGAGAUGGACCCUCUCUUUUUUGGAUCAACAGAACUGAUAGAGAGAGAGAAGGGCAUGUUCUGGUUGUCGGUGGGAACCGAGGGAGAGAAGAGAAUCUGAAUCGUGGCUUUGACAGCAAGGGCAAAGCCGGCCUGCUCUGAUACCAAGCUGAUGGCGGACUACUGCAAGAAGAAGAGAGAAAGAGGAAGAAAAGAAAAGGAGGAAGAAGAAGAGGUUAUAGAGAUGCAGGAAGAAGAGGUUAUAGAGACGUAGAAAAUAGAAUAGGAGGAAGAACAAACAGAAAGGAGGCUAGGGUUUUUUAUUCAAUCAUUCAAUUUUCCUAAUUCAUGAGCGGGGUGACCCUUAUAUAGGCAUUACAUCAUGAAUUGAUCAAGUCAAACAAUUAACAACUAACCAAACUGGGACUCCUCAAUUAAUUGACUAUGUCAAUUAAUUGAUUACAUACCAAAUUAAACCUUACUAACAUUAGACCAUUAAACCAAUUAAUUACACCCAAAAUUUGACCUUUAUAAUUAGGUCUUACAUUGAUCAAUUGAUCCAAUCACUUGACUCAACAACCAAAUCGACUCCAAAAUAACAGAAACAUAACCAAAUUGACUCAAACAAAAGCAACUAAUAAGGCAAUAAAAGAAACAUGAUGCAGACUCGAAUGGACUCAAUCGGGGGCUGACUCAAAUCGGUGGCUCAAAACCAUCUCCUAGCCAUAAUGAUGUCAACCCUUGGUGCGAACGCGAGCGAGCAGCCCUGAUGGCUCGAUCGUCUGAACGAACGGUCCUGAUGUCCCCAUCACUAAGGGUUCAAAUCCAUUCAAUCUAAUGAU